AGUGAACGCUGGCGGCGUGCCUAAUACAUGCAAGUCGAACGGAGAUUAAGUAUCUUGCUAUUUAAUCUUAGUGGCGCACGGGUGAGUAAUAUAUAGCUAACUUGCCCAUUACUAAGGGACAACAGUUGGAAACGACUGCUAAUACCUUAUACUCCGUAUCUAUAUAAGUAGAUACGGGAAAGUUUUUCGGUAAUGGAUAGGGCUAUAUCGUAUCAGCUAGUUGGUAAGGUAAUGGCUUACCAAGGCUAUGACGCGUAACUGGUCUGAGAGGAUGAUCAGUCACACUGGAACUGAGACACGGUCCAGACUCCUACGGGAGGCAGCAGUAGGGAAUAUUGCUCAAUGGGGGAAACCCUGAAGCAGCAACGCCGCGUGGAGGAUGACACUUUUCGGAGCGUAAACUCCUUUUCUUGGGAAAGAAUUAUGACGGUACCCAAGGAAUAAGCACCGGCUAACUCCGUG
rnacentral:rRNA from 1 species